GCCUCCAUGGUUCAGUUGGAUAAUAGCUUUCUUGUGAGAAAUUGCGUCACGAGAGAGCAAAUCAUGGCGAGGGUUCGAAUCCCUCUGGAGGCA